rnacentral:rRNA from 1 species
AGAGUUUGAUCCUGGCUCAGAAUGAACGCUGGCGGCAUGGAUUAGGCAUGCAAGUCGUACGCUCACUUCGGUGAGAGUGGCGAAAGGGUGAGUAACGCGUGAAUGAUCUGCCCCCAAGUUCGGGACAACUGUUGGAAACGACAGCUAAUACCGAAUGUGAAUCUAAAACUGCAUGGUUUUAAAUUUAAAGGUUUACUGCUUGGGGAUGAGUUCGCGUCCCAUUAUGCUAGUUGGCGAGGUAACGGCUCACCAAGGCUAUGACGGGUAGGUGGUCUGAGAGGAUGGUCACCCACACUGGGACUGAGACACUGCCCAGACUCCUGCGGGAGGCUGCAGUCGAGAAUCUUCCGCAAUGCGCGAAAGCGUGACGGAGCAAUGCCGCGUGAAGGAUGAAGGCUUUCGGGUCGUAAACUUCUGUCAGAGGGGAAAAAUUAUGAUUGUACCCUCAGAGGAAGCCACGGCUAACUACGUGCCAGCAGCCGCGGUAAUACGUAGGUGGCGAGCGUUAUUCGGAUUUACUGGGCGUAAAGGGUCCGUAGGGGGAUACAUAAGUUUGAUGUGAAAUUUCGAGGCUCAACCUCGAACCUGCAUUGAAAACUGUGUAUCUAGAAUUCGGUAGAGGUAAGUGGAAUUUGUGGUGUAGCGGUGGAAUGCGUAGAUAUCACAAGGAACAUCAAAGGCGAAAGCAGCUUACUGGGCCGAUAUUGACCCUGAGGGACGAAAGCUAAGGUAGCGAAAAGGAUUAGAUACCCUUGUAGUCUUAGCCGUAAACGUUGUACACUCGAUGUCGGGGGAAUUAGCCCCUUCGGUGUCUAAGCUAACGCGAUAAGUGUACCGCCUGGGAAGUACGGUCGCAAGACUAAAACUCAAAGGAAUUGACGGGGGCCCGCACAAGCGGUGGAGCAUGUGGCUUAAUUCGAGGCAACGCGAAGAACCUUACCUGGGUUUGACAUAUAAAUGACCGCUCCCGAAACGGAGUUUCUCUUCGGAGCAUUUAUACAGGUGCUGCAUGGCUGUCGUCAGCUCGUGCCGUGAGGUGUUCGGUUAAGUCCGGCAACGAGCGCAACCCAUGUCACUAGUUGCCAACACGUAAUGGUGGGGACUCUAGAGAGACUGCCCGUGUCAAGCGGGAGGAAGGCGUGGACGACGUCAAGUCAGUAUGGCCCUUACACCCAGGGCUGCACACGUGCUACAAUGGCGACUACAGAAGGCAGCGAGACCGCGAGGUUUAGCAAAUCCGUUAAAAGUCGCCCCAGUUCGGAUUGGAGUCUGCAACUCGACUCCAUGAAGUCGGAAUCGCUAGUAAAGGCGUAUCAGCUACGGCGCCUUGAAUACGUUCCCGGGCCUUGUACACACCGCCCGUCACAUCAUGGGAGCCUGAUGCACCCGAAGCCGUCGUACCAACCUUUCGGAGAGGGAGACGUCGAAGGUGUGCCCGGUAACAGGGAUGAAGUCGUAACAAGGUAACC